CCUACGGGAGGCAGCAGUGAGGAAUAUUGGUCAAUGGGCGUAAGCCUGAACCAGCCAAGUCGCGUGAGGGAUGAAGGUUCUAUGGAUCGUAAACCUCUUUUAUGAGGGGAUAAAGUGUGGGACGUGUCCUGGUUUGUAUGUACCUCAUGAAUAAGGAUCGGCUAAUUCCGUGCCAGCAGCCGCGGUAAUACGGAGGAUCCGAGCGUUAUCCGGAUUUAUGCGGUUUAAAGGGUGCGUAGGCGGGCUUUUAAGCCAGGGGUGAAAGUUGGUGGCUCAACCAUCGGAUUGCCGUGGAAACUGGGAGGCUUGAGUGCGUUUGAGGCAGGCGGAAUUCGUGGUGUAGCGGUGAAAUGCUUAGAUAUCACGCAGAACCUCGAUUGCGAAGGCAGCCUGCCAAGCCGUGACUGACGCUGAUGAACGAAAGCGAGGGUAUCAAACAGGAUUAGAUACCCGUGUAGUC
rnacentral:rRNA from 1 species